rnacentral:piRNA from 2 species
UCUCUGGUCAACAGCAUAAACUUAGGGA